ensembl:lncRNA
UUUAUGGCUCAACUUUUUUUCACAGCUCUCCCCCCUUGCUCAUGCUGUCACAGCCUGUCAUUAGAUGUUGCUACAGUGACAGCAAACAGAAAAGGAAUCUGGUUUUUGUAAAAUGAGACUAACAUUGCCAAUCAGUAUGUCAGAUCAUUGGUUUAACUCUAUUGUAACUCCACUGCUGUACAUCACAUUCGGUGUCAGUGAAGCUAGUGAAGUUGUGCUACUCAAAAAUAACUCCCCAAAUCCGAAAACGAGAAAAUCGAAUGGAGUCAAAGUGGAAAACCUCUAUAAUGGUGAAGUGGAGUAGGUUUCAUAGUUAGAGCAGAUGCAUAACGAUGUCUUGAGAUAGCAGUUCAGACCUGAUCCACAUUUUGCAGCUGGAUGCACCUUCUGUAACGUGUCCGCUGCAAGUCAUGGGUCUGGACAUGACGGUCCUCCAGCACAGUGCCUGGCCUAGGAGCUCUCCAUGGUACCUACAGCGCCGUCUCCAGUACUGACUUCUGUGGAAGAAAGGGAUAGGAGCAGCAAUAUAAUAUUGAUAAAACAGUGCUUAAAAUUAGCUAUGCAGUUUUAAGUAACCUGCUUCAGACAAGCAUGUUUGUUUCAGACUAACACUUUCAGUAGCUGGAGAGUCUUUAUAUUAUCAGUAAAGGAAUACUUGAUUUUCUGCUGUAACUGCAGACUUUUCAGUGUAGUUACCGAUCUCCAUCUCCAUUAAAAAUCUUGGAGCCUGCUUUAACAUUAAGUUUUACCAUUCUUUUCACACCCUGACCUUUAUCCCACCUGAUACUAAGCUCACGCUGCUUACUCUUCCCUUUUAUGGCUUUGAAAAUUGAAUACAGCUGUCAAUCCAUUGGUUCAUGUUGCAGAAGCAAUGUCAGAAAUAUCUGAAUGGAGUGAAUAACCAGACGGGGGAAUGUGCUACAGCAAAAUGGAGUAUUCCACUCCCACUUAUAGGGACAACACCACAGGGCCAUCUGUCCUGACAGUUUACACAACAGCGUUUGCCUCUGACACUUGAAAUGGUAGUAGUUGGAAAAUCAUUUGGCCAUGCCCUCUGGUCUAAUUUAGCUCAGUUCCAUGAAUGCCAACUAAACUAGGCUGAAUGAGAGUUAGCAGAGAAGCUUUCUUAACAAAAUUAGCAUCUUUCUAAAAUGAAAUGAAAAGACCUAAUAAAAGCCUUGUCAUGUGUAUGAUGUACUCUCCCUUCUCACCUAUGUACAUGCUCUGACCCUCUGUGAGUACCUAGUUACUUCCACUGCUCAGGAAAGGAAGCCUGACCCUACUGUCUGAGAAACAAGAAACGAGGUCUCUUGUCCUCUUUACCAUCCCCUGUCCUCCAGCAGCAGAGAUUUCUGAAGAAGGUGACUCAGAAUUUCAGAUACUUGAACAUUUUCAUACGGAUAGAAAA